rnacentral:tRNA from 1 species
GGAAAAUUAGUUAAAACGUUGUAUAACAUAUGCUUGUCAAGCUUAAGUUGCUGUAAUUCAUCCGCAGUAUUUUCCU